CGUUCUCAGUGGGCGGGGGAGCUGCAGAGACACAGUCAGGGCGGGCGCUUGGACAGGGCUACGUGACCCAGGUUCUCCUGAUUCUGCCAGGCGGCCCUAAAGGAUCAUGGGAUACAGGUGACACCUAGGCAGAUUAUCCAGGUAUAUGGUCUAGAGAGCGGGAGCUGCUGCUUCUGUUCCCCCUGCUUCUUGACACCACCCCGGGAACAGUCCCGGACAUGGAGAGGCAGCAAAUUCAUAACCGAGACAGGGAAUUACUGUUUUCACCCACCGUGCAAUUAGGCUGUGGAACUCACUGCCACAGGAAACCAAGAACUGAGCAAGAUUCAAAAAGGGAUCUGGUGUUUAUCUAGAUAAGAAGAAUAUACAGAUUUAUCAUAAUUAAUGAUAAAAUAAUGUAGUGGAUAGGAUCUUAAACUUCAUGCUUUGCAGCUUCGACCAAUUAUUAGAGAGUAGGAUGAGCAUUCUGUGGUGGGCAGAUUACCCUACCUUUGCCUGCUCUAGCAUUUUUACACCUUCCUUCUUCUGGUCACUGUCAGAGACAUGAUACUUGCCUACAUGGACCUCAGAUUUGAUCCAGUAUGUUGAUUCGUAAGUUCAACAGUGAGGGACCACAACACAUGGCACCAUGACAGCAUGGUACCUAAGCCUGAUAAUACAGGGUAUUGCUGUGACGGCACUGGCCAUGGCCAUGACAUUGAGACAUAGCAUCAGUGCAGGAUGUCAUGGCACUGUGACAGCACAAGGCAUCACCUUGACUGUGUGGGGAAUUGCUGUGACACAGGGCCUUGCAGCACUCCCACAAGAGCAUCAGGUUGAUGGAUGCUGGCCUCACAAUGCUCUGUGUGGAAGGAGUCUUUAUUUCUUACCGGUCUGUACUGCGCUGUCCACACAUCAUAUUAUAUACAAAUAGUUAGAAUGCUGUAUAAGAGCUAUUAUUAUAAUUAUUUAUUAACGUGCUGUGAAGUUUAGUUUUUGUCAACAUGUUGCACCCUGGCGUGAUGCCUUUUAGAGUAGCAAUAUGUAGCAUGAUGUCAUUCAGUUGCAUUGUCACAGUGUGAUGGCUGUUGGAUGCAUUGUUAUAGUGGAAUGACAUUUAGCUGCAUUGUCAGCACAUUAUCUCCUGACAUGAUGACUAGACAGAUUUUCAUGGUAUGAUGUCAUUGCAUUGCCUUGCAGCAUGACGGCAUUCGGACAUAUCAAAGUUAUCUGAAAACUUUUAGACACAUCCGCACUGCAUUGUAUCUUGGCAUCCUUAUAUUUAGGCCUUGUCUAUACUACGGAGUUUUCUUGACAAAGCAGUGGAGGGGUACACAUUACAAUGCGACUUUUGCUGACAAAACACUCCUGUUUUGUUGACAAAAUAAAACCACCUCGAUGAGAUGCGUAGAGCUUUUUGCUCAAAGUUUUAUUGACAAAGUGUCAGUGUAGACACUGCGCUUGGUUUUGUCACUUUAAAUGGCCUCCAGGAGGUGUCCCAUAAUGCCCAUCCUGACCGCUCUGGUCAGCAGUUCCAACUCCGCUGCCCUGCAGCCAGGUAAACAAGCAUGUACCCCUCCCCUUUAAAGGCCUGGGAAUUUUUGAAAUUCCACUUCCUGUUUGCUCAGCAUGGAGAGCUCACAUUGCAUCUUGAUCCUGGUGGCUCCACAGGGCAAAUGCUCUCCCCCUUGGACCACUGUGGAGCUGUUGGAUCUGCUGAGUAUAUGGGAAGAGGAGGCUGUCCAGUCCCAGCUGCGCUCCAGCCACAGAACUUUGAUUCCUAUGGACAGAUUUCCCUGUGAAAAGGGCUAGGAACAGGACACGGUGCAGUGCUGAGCGAAAAUAAAGGAGCUGAGGCAGGCAUACCAGAAGGCAAGGGAGGCAAACCGUCACUCUAGUGCUGCACCGAAGACCUGUUGCUUCUACAAGGAGCUGGAUGCUAUCCUUGGCAGCGAUUCCACCUCUACCGCCAAGAGAUCCAGGGAUACUUCUGCGGGGCUGGAGGUGGCAGAAAGUUGACCUAACCCUGAGGACGAAGUCAUGGACGAGGAGGUGGAAUUGGAUGUGGACGAAGUCGUGGAUGAGGAGGCAGAUGUUGUGGAGCCCACGGCAGGGUCUCCAGGUGGGGUGGCAAGUCAGGAACACUUCUCUACUCUAGAGGUGUCUAGCUAGUCCCAGCAGUACAUCUCCGGUGAGCAAGAAGCAGGAGAGGAGACCUCUGACACUGGUGGAGCACCUCCGCCAGAUAAGAGAGUGACCAAGGUGGACAUGUUCCAGGAGGUCCUGCAAUCCUCUGGUGCAGAAAAAAGAGAGCGCAGGGAGUGAAGAGAAAUGGAAAGGGAAGACAGAAAAGAAAAUCAGGAGAUCAUUCAAAAGGCCCAUGAGCAGAUGAUAAGAGUAAUGGAGGAGCAAACAGAGAUGCUGAAAUCCCUAAUCACGCAACAUUCAGAAAAGAUGCGUGCUUGCCCCCACCCCUGCAGCUGAUACAGAACUGUUUUCCAUGCCCUCCCCAAACUCCUUCCACACAUUCCUUUCAACUUUUCAGAACAUCUUGGUAUCCCAUUCACUGCACCCCUUUGGACAGUUUCCAAAAUGAUAGCUGGACUUCUGCACAGGUAUGAGAACCUGCCCUUCACUGCUACCUCCCUUCCCACCAAGAUUGUUGUGUGUGUUAAUUGGUGCUUAAUAAAAACAAAUCUCUGAAAGA